AGUGGAUGGGGAGCAACCUAGUUGUGCGUGUGUAAAGGUAGUGCCAAGAAAAGCGAUGAUCAUGUUGAAAAUCAAUUCCCGGUACCCGAAACCGACACAGGUGGCGAGUAGAGAAUACUAAGGGGCGCGAGGUAACUCUCUCCAAGGAACUCGGCAAAAUGACCCCGUAACUUAGGGAGAAGGGGUGCCACCGAGAGGUGGUCGCAGUGAAGAGGCCCAGGCGACUGUUUAGCAAAAACAUAGGUCUCUGCAAACUCGAAAGAGGAGGUAUAGGGGCUGACGCCUGCCCAGUGCCGGAAGGUUAAAGAAGUUGGUCAGUCUUAGGAUGAAGCUAGCGACUGAAGCCCCGGUGAACGGCGGCCGUAACUAUAACGGUCCUAAGGUAGCGAAAUUCCUUGUCGGGUAAGUUCCGACCCGCACGAAAGGCGUAACGAUCUGGGCGCUGUCUCGGAGAGAGGCUCGGCGAAAUAGGAUUGUCUGUGAAGAUACGGACUACCUGCAUUUGGACAGAAAGACCCUAUGAAGCUUUACUAUAGCUUGGAAUUGUGUUCGGGCUUCCUGUGCGCAGGAUAGGUGGGAGGCGUAGAAGGUAUUCUUGUGGGGAUACUGGAGCCAACGGUGAGAUACCACUCUCAGGAGGCUAGAAUUCUAACUUAAUUAAGGACAGUUUCAGGUGGGUAGUUUGACUGGGGCGGUCGCCUCCAAAAAGGUAACGGAGGCGUACAAAGGUUCCCUCAGACUGGUUGGAAAUCAGUCGAAGAGUGCAAAGGCAGAAAGGAGCUUGACUGCGAGAAGUACAGUUCGAGCAGGGUGGAAACACGGUCUUAGUGAUCCGACGGUGCUGUGUGGAAGGGCCGUCGCUCAACGGAUAAAAGUUACUCUAAGGAUAACAGGCUGAUCUCCCCCAAGAGUUCACAUCGACGGGGAGGUUUGGCACCUCGAUGUCGGCUCAUCGCAACCUGGGGCGGAAGUACGUCCCAAGGGUUGGGCUGUUCGCCCAUUAAAGCGGUACGUGAGCUGGGUUCAGAACGUCGUGAGACAGUUCGGUCCAUAUCCGAUGUAGGCGUGAGAAUAUUGAGAGGAGCCUUCCUUAGUACGAGAGGACCGGGAAGGACGCACCGCUGGUGUACCUGUUAUGAUGCCAAUUGUAAACGCAGGGUAGCCAAGUGCGGAGAGGAUAACCGCUGAAAGCAUCUAAGUGGGAAGCCCACCUCAAGAUGAGUAUUCUGGUGUAAGGUCACGGGAAGACGACCCGUAAAUAGGCACGAGGUGGAAGUGCAGAGAUGUAUGAAGCCGAAGUGUACUAAUAGACCGUCGGCUUGAGC
rnacentral:rRNA from 1 species